rnacentral:rRNA from 1 species
UCAAGCGAACAAGGGCGCAGGGCGAAUGCCUUGGCACUGGGAGCCGAUGAAAGACGUGAUAAGCUGCGAUAAGCUUCGGGGAGCUGCAAAUAAGCAUUGAUCCGGAGAUUUCUGAAUGAGGAAACUCACCUGGGUUCAUACUCAGGUACGUUACACUGAACUUCAAAAUAGGUGUAUCGGGGGAACCGCCUGAACUGAAACAUCUAAGUAGGGCGAGGAAGAGACAUCAAACGAGAUUCCGUAAGUAGUGGCGAGCGAACGCGGAAGAGGGCAAACCGUGAGUAGAAAUUCUUGCGGGGUACGGACUGCUUUUAGGACUUAAUCUGUUAACCGAACGGCAUGGGAAGGCCGGUCAGAGAGUGUGAGAACCACGUAGGUGAAAACGGAGAGAGCUGCGCAGGAUCCAGAGUACGCCCAGACACGUGAAACCUGGUCGGAAGAUGGGGGGACCACCCUCCAACCCUAAAUACUACCCAGUGACCGAUAGCGUAUAGUACUGUGAAGGAAAGGUGAAAAGCACCCCGGGAGGGGAGUGAAAUAGAACCUGAAACCCUGUGCCUACAAGCACCUAGAGCACGUCAAUGUGUGAUAGGGUACUUUUUGUAGAACGGUCCGGCGAGCGAUUGUAUGCAGCAAGGUUAAGGACUUCAGGUCUGGAGCCGAAGCGAAAGCGAGUUUGAAAAGGGCGUUAAGUUGCAUACAAUGGGCCCGAAACCGGGUGACCUACCCAUGGUCAGGUUGAAGUGGAAGUAAAAUUCCAUGGAGGACCGAACCGACCUCCGUUGAAAAGGCGGCGGAUGAACUGUGGGUAGCGGAGAAAUUCCAAUCGAACCCGGAGAUAGCUGGUUCUCCCCGAAAUAGUUUUAGGACUAGCCUCAACUUAGAUAUCUGGAGGUAAAGCACUGAAUAGCCUAGCGGCCGAGAGGUUAGCGAAGCUUAUCAAACUCAGAAUGCCAGAAUAUUGAUGGUUGGGAGUCAGACAGUGUCAGAUAAAUGUCAUUGUCAAAAGGGAAACAGCCCAGAUCUACAGCUAAGGUCCCAAAGUCAGGUUAAGUGGAAAACGAUGUGGAGAUACGCAGACAACCAGGAUGUUGGCUCAGAAGCAGCCACUCAUUCAAAGAGUGCGUAAUAGCUCACUGGUCGAGCGUCUCUGCGCGGAGAAUUUAACGGGGCUAAACCUGACACCGAAGCUUAGGCAAUGUAGAAAUACAUUGGGUAGGGGAGCGUUGUAUACGCGGUGAAACAGUAGCGCAAGCGGCUGUGGAGUGUAUAGAAGUGAGAAUGCCGGAAUGAGUAGCGCGAAUGCAGUGAGAAUCUGCAUGGCCGAAAGCCUCAGGUUUCUGGAGGAAGGUUCGUCCGCUCCAGGUUAGUCGGGAGCUAAGGUGAGGCCUAACGGCGUAGCCGAUGCACAGACGGUAGAGAUUCCGUCACCACCAAAAGAGUUAAGCACAGGGACACAUUUGAAGUCUCGGAGCCGGGUGUUGGUUCCGGUAGCGAUCGAGGGAAGUUAGUACCGAAGUCCGGGAUGGAAGAUGGCGAGAAAAGCUGUGUGUAUUUCUGCGGUGCCCGUACCGCAAACCGACACAGGUAGGUAGGAAGAAGAUUCUAAGGCCAACGGGAGAAGGGUUGUUAAGGAACUCGGCAAAUUGACCCCGUAACUUCGGGAGAAGGGGUGCUCCAGAGAUGGAGCCGCAGAGAAUCGGCCCAAGCAACUGUUUACCAAAAACACAGGUUUGUGCUAAAUCGAAAGAUGACGUAUACGAGCUGACGCCUGCCCGGUGCUGGAAGGUUAAGAGGAGAUGUGCAAGCAUUGAAUCGAAGCCCCAGUGAACGGCGGCCGUAACUAUAACGGUCCUAAGGUAGCGAAAUUCCUUGUCAGGUAAGUUCUGACCCGCAUGAAAGGCGUAAUGAUUUGGGCACUGUCUCGACAGCCAGCGCGGCGAAAUUGUAGUACCGGUGAAGUUGCCGGUUACCCGCGACAAGACGGAAAGACCCCAUGGAGCUUUACUGUAGCCUAAUAUUGGGUUUCGAUGUUGCAUGCACAGGAUAGAUGGGACACAGGGAAGUGAUCGCUUUGGCGGUCAUGGAGUGGCCGUUG